UCAGUCUGUAUACCUCCGUCGUAAACUCCCAUAUGAAUGCUACAUAGUGCAGUUUAAAGGUCUUUUGCCAGCACGUCAGGUCAAGGUGCAGCCCACGAGGGGGCAAGAAAUGGGCUACAAUUUCUAAUCUAGAACAAACGAAAUACUGCAUGAAACACAGUUAAGAAGGAGGAUCUAGUAGUAAAGAGAAAAUAGUGUGUUCUCUUAAAUACGGCCCUGGGAUACUUACACA
rnacentral:rRNA from 1 species